GAUGAACGCUAGCGGCAGGCUUAAUACAUGCAAGUCGAGGGGCAGCAUAAUUGUAGCAAUACAGUUGAUGGCGACCGGCAAACGGGUGCGGGACACGUACAGAACCUUCCUUCGAGCGGGGAAUAGCCCAGAGAAAUUUGGAUUAAUACCCCAUAGUAUUACGGAGUGGCAUCACUUUGUAAUUAAAGAUUUAUCACUUGAAGAUGGCUGUGCGGCUGAUUAGGUAGUUGGCGGGGUAACGGCCCACCAAGCCUGCGAUCAGUAACUGGUGUGAGAGCACGACCAGUCACACGGGCACUGAGACACGGGCCCGACUCCUACGGGAGGCGGCAGUAAGGAAUAUUGGUCAAUGGACGAAAGUCUGAACCAGCCAUGCCGCGUGAAGGAUGAAGGUCCUCUGGAUUGUAAACUUCUUUUAUAUGGGACGAAAAAAGGCUUUUCUAAGUCGUCUGACGGUACCAUAUGAAUAAGCACCGGCUAACUCCGUGCCAGCAGCCGCCGUAACAC
rnacentral:rRNA from 1 species